rnacentral:misc_RNA from 1 species
CAAUAAGUGUUUUAUGGCACUUUUUCAAUCCAUAUCCACCUUGUGUGCAAUGUUGUCUUGUAGUGCGAAUGCUUGUCAUUUGCGCUACAGGAUGUAAACAUCAACUCUUAUCUUUAACAACUUUGUCUGAAGCAAUGUAUCAUGAGUUAACAUAUUAUGAAUAUACUUAAUUCAAAAUA